GCCUGUAGUCCCAGUUACUUAGGAGGCCGAGGUGGGUGGGUUGCUUGAACUCAGGAGUUCUGGGUUGUAGGGCACUGUGCAGAUUGGAUGUCUGCAUUAAGUUCGACAUCAAUAUGGUGACCUUCUGGGAGCAGGGGGCUACCAGGUUACCUAAGGAGAGGUGAAUCAGCCCAGGUCAGAAAUGGAGUAGGUAAAUAUUCCCAGGUUGAUUAGUAGUGGGAUAGCACCUGUGUUUAGCCACUGCACCCCAGCCUGGGAAACGUAGCAAGACCCUGUCUCU
rnacentral:SRP_RNA from 1 species